ACUGGACUUGGAGUCAGGAA
rnacentral:miRNA from 1 species